UCAGACGAUGCGUCAUGCAUAUCAAUAAGCGGAGGAAAAGAAACUAACAAGGAUUCCCUUAGUAACGGCGAGUGAAGCGGGAAGAGCUCAAAUUUGAAAUCUUCAAGGUUUUACCUUGACGAAUUGUAGUUUAAAGAAGUGUUUUCUGUUGAAGUUUUGGUAAAAGUUCUUUGGAAUAGGACAUCAUAGAGGGUGAGAAUCCCGUAUUUGACCAUUAUUUUCAGCUGUGUGAUACACUUUCAAAGAGUCGGAUUGUUUGGGAAUGCAGUCCAAAAUGGGUGGUAAAUUUCAUCUAAAGCUAAAUAUUGGCGAGAGACCGAUAGCGAACAAGUACCGUGAGGGAAAGAUGAAAAGAACUUUGAAAAGAGAGUUAAACAGUACGUGAAAUUGUCAAAAGGGAAGCGUUUGACACCAGUGUUGUUUUCUCGAAAAUCAAUUAAAAAUGAGUUAGAUUUUGUAUGUGUAUUGACCUUAACAGCUUGCACUGUACAUUUUCGUGUCUUUUUUAAUGCACUUUUCGUUUAACAAGUCAACAUCAGUUUCUUUUGUUGUAAAAGGUCAUUGGAAGGUGGCUUUCUUUUCGGAGAAAGUGUUUAUAGCCUUUGACUCCUGCAAUCGGAGAGACUGAGGUCUGCAGCGUAGAUCCUUCGGGGUUAGAUACAUUUGUGCUAAGUUAUAGCUUUUUAUAGACAACUUGUUGACUAUGAUUAGUCUUGUAGCUUACUCGCUUAUGCUAUUUUACCUACGCUUAGGAUGUUGAGUCGUAGAGCACGCAG
rnacentral:rRNA from 1 species